GCACGGAGACGGCGGACCUACCG
rnacentral:piRNA from 1 species